GAGUUUGAUCGUGGCUCAGAUUGAACGCUGGCGGCAUGCCUUACACAUGCAAGUCGAACGGCAGCACGGGAGCUUGCUCCUGGUGGCGAGUGGCGAACGGGUGAGUAAUGCAUCGGGACGUAUCCUGGAGUGGGGGAUAACGUAGCGAAAGUUACGCUAAUACCGCAUAUUCUGUGAGCAGGAAAGCGGGGGACCUUCGGGCCUCGCGCUCUUGGAGCGGCCGAUGUCGGAUUAGCUAGUUGGUGAGGUAAAGGCUCACCAAGGCGACGAUCCGUAGCAGGUCUGAGAGGAUGAUCUGCCACACUGGAACUGAGACACGGUCCAGACUCCUACGGGAGGCAGCAGUGGGGAAUUUUGGACAAUGGGGGCAACCCUGAUCCAGCCAUGCCGCGUGAGUGAAGAAGGCC
rnacentral:rRNA from 1 species